rnacentral:lncRNA from 1 species
GCCUCCCCUGCGCCAUGACCGCACUUCCGGUUCGGCCGGGCGGAAGCGGAAGCCGGGCGAGAAAGAACAGGAAGUCGAGGGGCGGAGGGGAGGGCGAAGGGAUGCGGCAAGGCACGAUGGGAUACAAGGAGGCGGAAGUGGGAGAAGCAAAAGGGGGAGGGCGCGGCUCCUCGGGGGGGAACACCCCGAAUUCCGUCACGAUCCCCCCCGUGAUCAGCUCGUGGGGCGUGACGUCAAAGACGGGGUUCCACACGUCGAAAAAUGGGGGGGGGGUUAAAAAUGGGGGUCAGGGCCCCAUAGGGGACCCCCAGCCCUAUAGGAGACCCCCAGCCCUAUAGGGGGUCUCUGCGUCCUAUAGAGGGACCCCCUGCCCCAUAGGGGGCACCCUCACCCUAUAAGGGGUCCCCUGCCCUAUAGGAGACCCCCUGCCCCAUACUCAAUCUCCUGCCCCAUAGGAGACCCCCCCGUUCUACAGGGGGUCCCCCGUCCUAUGUGGGGCCUCUUUGCCCUAUAGCGGGACCCCUGCCCCAUAGGGGGCUUCCUCACCCUAUGGAAGGACCCCCACCCUAUAAGGAACCCCCCCAUCCCUGUCCUAUAAUAAGAUGGAGGGAUUCCUUGCCCUAUAGCGGUACCCCUGCCCCACACAGGAUCCCACAGGAGACCCCCCCACCCACUACUGAGCCUCCUUGCCCCAUAGGAACCCCCCCCUCAUCCUUUGAGGAUCUCCUGCCCUAUAGGGAAUCCCCCUUCCCCAUCCUAUGAGGAUCUCCUACCCUAUACGAAACCCCCCCUCCCAUCCUAUAAGGAGCCCCCCCCCCAUUCUAGGAACAUCUCCUACCCUAUAGGAAACCCCCUCUCAUUCUUUGAGGGU